rnacentral:rRNA from 1 species
UACGAAGGGGGCUAGCGUUGUUCGGAAUUACUGGGCGUAAAGCGCACGUAGGCGGAUACUUAAGUUAGGGGUGAAAUCCCGGGGCUCAACCCCGGAACUGCCUUUAAUACUGGGUAUCUUGAGUUCGAGAGAGGUGAGUGGAAUUCCGAGUGUAGAGGUGAAAUUCGUAGAUAUUCGGAGGAACACCAGUGGCGAAGGCGGCUCACUGGCUCGAUACUGACGCUGAGGUGCGAAAGCGUGGGGAGCAAACAGG